UCACUUCUAUUUUAAUCAGUCUAUAAAAUAGUCUGUCAUUCAAACCAUUAUUACAAAAUCCAGGUUUCUCCUAAAGUUUGAAAAAGUACAAACAUCUUCUAUACAAAACAGCAAAACUACAUAGUAUUGCACAAUCUUUUUAUUUUAUCUUGAAAGUACAAAGAUAUCAAUCGUCUCGACAGAAAUAAGACAGAAUAAAUUAUUUUAUUAAGCAUUAUUCCUUAAAGAUUACAGCACAUAAAUAAGGAGAAACGCUACAUAGUUAAAAUGAGCCAUUAUUUCAUAGUGCUUUUCUCAAAAGACGGAACAUCUCAAUGGAAAACAAAAAAGCUCUCACCAUGUGAUGCUGAAUAGUUGCUUGAAAAAAUAAAUAAGUGCAUUUCCAUGGUCACCUUUUGCCCUAUGGGACUUUUUACUUGGACCAGCAUGAAGGGCUUCUUCCCCUCCUUUCAGUUUAAAAACCAGGAAAAAUAUACAGCAAAUAAUUCAAGAGGUUUACAAUUGUUAAAAUUCAUACAGACAGAUUUAAAAUAUAAUUUUCCUUUUUUGGCAGGAUGAACUCUCUACUAACAUACAUACAAAUUUUGCCCUCAAAAAUUCUGGGACAGACCUCAUCUGAAGUCACGCGUAACACGCACAUACAAAUAAAACAAGUCAGAUUACUAUGGUUCCAGGUAGAGGUUUCCCCUAGGUACAGAUCUAGGAUCAGCUUCCCCUCCCCUAAUCCUAACCUUUACCAUUAGUGGGGAAAGUGCAAAACCGACCCAAAAUCGGCGUCUAGGUUUUUUCUUCACCCUAUACCAUUACGACCCAGUAACACCAUAUGGAGACAGAGACUGAAUGGCUGAGUAACUGACUGACUAUCCCUCCCCAUAUCUCUCAGACAGUCCAGUUCUUCACAGAUGUGACGCCUUACAUGUGGGUUAGGUCAGCUGAACAGAUGGAGGGUUGGGUUAGCUGAACAGAUGGAGGGUUGUGUUAGCUGAACAGAUGGAGGGUUGGGUUAGCUGAACAGAUGGAGGGUUGGGUUAGCUGAACAGAUGGAGGGUUGGGUUAGCUGAACAGAUGGAGGGUUGGGUUAGCUGAACAGAUGGAGGGUUGGGUUAGCUGAACAGAUGGAGGGUUAGGUUAGCUGAACAGAUGGAGGGUUAGGUUAGCUGAACAGAUGGAGGGUUAGGUUAGCUGAACAGAUGGAGGGUUAGGUUAGCUGAACAGAUGGAGGGUUAGGUUAGCUGAACAGAUGGAGGGUUAGGUUAGCUGAACAGAUGGAGGGUUAGGUUAGCUGAACAGAUGGAGGGUUAGGUUAGCUGAACAGAUGGAGGGUUGGGUUAGCUGAACAGAUGGAGGGUUGGGUUAGCUGAACAGAUGGAGGGUUGGGUUAGCUGAACAGAUGGAGGGUUAGGUUAGCUGAACAGAUGGAGGGUUGGGUUAGCUGAACAGAUGGAGGGUUAGGUUAGCUGAACAGAUGGAGGGUUGGGUUAGCUGAACAGAUGGAGGGUUGGGUUAGCUGAACAGAUGGAGGGUUGGGUUAGCUGAACAGAUGGAGGGUUGGGUUAGCUGAACAGAUGGAGGGUUGGGUUAGCUGAACAGAUGGAGGGUUGGGUUAGCUGAACAGAUGGAGGGUUAGGUUAGCUGAACAGAUGGAGGGUUGUGUUAGCUGAACAGAUGGAGGGUUG